CGGGGCGUGGCUCAGCCCGGUAGAGCGCUGCGUUCGGGACGCAGAGGUCCCCGGUUCAAAUCCGGGCGCCCCGA
rnacentral:tRNA from 2 species